rnacentral:lncRNA from 1 species
CCUGUGGCCAAUUCACAUCCAAUUGUUUGAAAAUUGGUCUUAGGUGAUAACCCUGAAUGAUUAAAUAUGAAGCUAAUUCUGCUUUCAAAUCCACCUGUUCCUUUGAAAAGCACAGUAAAUGUCCCCCAGAGGAGGAAGGUUCAAAGCUGCACUGAUCUGACUGUGUCUACUGAAAACCCAAAUGUUAUGAUCUCUGUGUUAUAUGAGAUACUAUCCCUAAAGUAAAACUAGCUUUAGGAAGCCAAAACUCCAGAUGGCUCCUCUGGCACCCAGGAUAUAUGGUGGCACCUGAAUGGACUCUCUUUUAGGGGGUAGGAGCAAAUUCCGUGGUACUGCUGGGACCUAUGAUACUGGUGAUGCUUUGAUCUCUCACUCUUCUUGUGUGUUAUGGCUGAGGCUUGACAAGCACGAAGUAGUUUCUCACAACAGUUAUAACUCAUUUUGUCAGCACAAGGAGCCCAGCACUCGGUAUCCUUCUUCCCUCCCUUGGCUGACUGCAUGCCUGGAAGCAGGAGCGCUUAAGUCAAAGUCUGAGGCAGACAACAUGGAAAAUCAAGAGGAAAAAGAAGUCAUGCUCAAGUUCUCGAGUUCAGCACUGACCUUCUGA